rnacentral:lncRNA from 1 species
CUUCAGUCUUCGUUCCUAAUGCUGCCAUGCCAGCAUAUGGUGAACCUGCUUACCUGACAGGUGGAGCGCCAAAGAGAAUGAGGAACAACUAUGGUAUCGCCGUGCCCCAGGGAAAUGGCAUGCCUAAUCUCGCACAAAACAUGCCCACCUUCGAUCCCGAGAUGAAGUAUUUGCCAUUACCUUAUGUUGAGAGCAGCUCAGAUGAAUCAAUGGACAACCUUCUGCAAAAUGAUGCUACACAAGACGGGGCAAGCAACGAGGGCAUCUGGAGCCUUGAUGAGCUGCUCAUGGCAGCUGGUGCCUACUGAGGAGACGAAAUGUUCUGGUCAGUGUGGUCUGUCACUAGCAAACCAUGUAAGGCACUCCACACUACCUACUAUUUUGAUUUCUUGUAGAUACAUUUUCAUGUACAGAUUACAUAUGUUGUAAAAUGGGAUAUGGUUUUCUUGUCAGGUUGAAUGUGUAUGGCCAAGAUGAAGAGCUGGUGAUGUCUGCUAUGUUUUGUAGAGGGAUGCUACCAAAGUAAUGCUAGAAUAUUACAAGCUGCUAUCAGCUGUACUCUCUAUGACAAUGUUUAUACUAUGUUUGCUGUAUGGUGUGGUCUAUGAUUUGAAGUAUGUUGGAGACUGAUUCAAAUAACUGCCUUGGCCAUGUGUGUGCUGUAAUGUGCUUAUUAAGUUAUAUAGUUGUGCUCAUAUUGCGUAUCUACAAUCUGCAACUUUGAAAGUGCUCGCUUUCGCUUUCCUGUGCAGUUCUGCUUUUCUGGAAUGUCAACAGCUAGUGUGUGACAUCAGAAAUCUAGAGAAAUCAAGACAGAAUCAAGCUUACAUGUUAACGAUGUAUGAGCUUAUUUGUCUUGCCCAGCUUACUUGUUGGGAAUGAUUUGUGUCUCAUUCCAGCAAUGUAUAUUCUGAGCAGUCGGUGGUUAAGGCAUAAGCUGAUUUUUGGCUUUUCUUUCGUGCUAUAUUUAUACUUUGAUGCUGAAGAUUUAAUACUGGGGCAGUUGAUUGGCUACAGGACUGUGACCUGAAAAAAAAAGCUUAAAUAAGAUCAUUUGCACACUGGAUUUGGUUCCUGGUUUUGCUUUAUCAUAUUGGCAUUCGGAUCUGCAACCACAAAGUCUUUCAUUUACUCGUAGCUGUUAGCUUAUCUUUUUCGUCUUUGCGAUGCUUAGUGAUGUACUUUUCAGCAAGUAGCCAAUGUUUAUGGCUUAAGGCAGAAAUUUCAGGCUCCAGGGCGAGUCUGCUUCAUGGCGGAUUAUAUCUCGAGAUUUUGCUUCUGACAACAAAUCGAAAACUAGGGAGCAAAUUGGCCAAGUUGGGAAUUUCUCCUCUGGCUCUUGCCAUUGGGUGUGGUCCUCUCCGAAUUAUUGCCAUGAGAGAUAGUCAGUGACAGAGACGGCCUGGGUUCAGUUGCAUCGUGGUUUAAGGAUUCUAACCUUUUCACUGAUCACCAUUUUCCGCCAAGUGGUUCUCUCAGAAAGUCUCUAGCUCCGGCCUUAAAUUAUUUUACCAGGGCAGUGAUCGGCACGGCAGAGUUUACACGGAUCUUUGAACAAAAAUUCAGAAUCUGAAUCAGCUAAGAAAAAAAAAAUCAUUCGUAAGCACUUGGACUUCUAGUGCAUGACGAAUGUUCAUGUCUCGUAUUUAGGAGCCGUUUGCAACAACGGAAAAUCAUAAUAGAACAAUACGGUGACAAUUGAGAGUACAGGAAUUCAGUGUUUGAAGUCUCCUUUGGAACGAAGGAAAUGAACCACGUACGAGAAUCAGGUAAAGUUCAUGCGUUCUAGCCUGUCUCGGCGAACGCCCACAGCCCCCACACCCUCUUGUCAUGGAGAUAUUUCUGAUUUCUGAAGACGUAAUCAAAGAAAGGCCUGUUUUGGAUGAACUUUUAACAUAUGUAGUUUCUUUUCAAACCUGUAGAUUUCUCAAACAUAUUAGAUUUUUUUCAAUGAUUCUAAGAAUUUAUAGUUACGAAAUCCAAAAAAAAUAACCAGAACUCAAAAGUUGGAAAACCCAGUUUUUUUUUCAUAUUCUCACUAGCUGGCUUCGAUCUCACGAUAUACUUAUCAGAAUUUUAAGCUCCCUAAGCAAGCAAGAUGUUGCUCCUAUGCAGGAGAGAGGUGAACAUCGACGAUGAGGACACAAAGCACUUGUGCUGGGGGUCAGAAAGGGACCGCAUUGACAGGUGCAAAUAUAAUCAUCGAUGAGUGCUUCGGUUGGCUGCUACUUGCCAGCGUUGAUGCCUACCUCCGGCGUCCGUUUGCCGUGCCAUGGAUCCCACUCCCUCCCCAGGUUCACUGAACUCAACCCCCCCUCCCUCCUCCCCCCUGCCACAUCGCCCUCACCUCUCCCUAGUGACCAGCAAUUUGUUGGGUAGAUCUCUCCCUCCUUUUCUUUUCUCCUUUCCAUAGACACUAUCAUACAAAGCAACAAUUAGACGAUUCCUUAUGGACUACUACUUCCUUUGUCUCAUAAAAAAUACAUUUAUCAGUUUUUAAGAUACAACUUUUAUAACUCUUCAUCUUAUUUAUUUUUUUAGAUUAAUAUUUUUAUUUAUAUUAGAUGAUAAAACAUAAAUAAUACUUUAUGCGUAACUAUUUUUUAAAAUUUUUUUAAAUAAGACGGAUAGUCAAACAACAUAAUCAUAAAAAUAUGUUAUUUGUGGGAUGGAGUGAGUAGUAUUGGAAUACUGGACCCCUACUCACACUGCAUGCAUACUGCUGGUGUGGUGAUGCAAUUAAUUCAGCUGGAUUAGGACCUGAUGAAAAUAAUUGAGGAGAUUGAAUGGCUUAUAUACACUUACUGCUAAUCUGUCAGCGAUUGUGUUAAUCAGCGAGAGCUGGGCUUCCUCAUGUGCUACCGCAGUACUGUUGCUCAGCUCUUUCUUAAAAGGAACAGGAAAGGGAAAAGAGGAUGACGAAAAGAACUGUGUCGCGGUGGUGCCUGGCCUGGUUGGCUACCGGUCGAUCGUCUGUAGUAGUAUGCACUAGGAGGGCGUAGGGAGAGGUGGUAGUACCAAGUUGGCGCUAGAUUCGCCACUGCCAAGGCGCACACACGACACGUCACCUUUUUGUUUGUUUGGGUGCGUGGAGUAUAGACACGUACACCGUAGUACAGUCAUGAUGAUUCAUUCCCUGUCCACACGCAGAGAGUGGAAAAAGGCUUGCCGGUUUCUUUCGUUCUUUACCUGCAAUUGGGCUCCCGGCCGUUUGUGCCCUACUUGCACGCACCGAUCAUUCGUUCGCUCGGUUAUUACCCCCUCCUCCACUGAUAUGAUGUCGUCACUAGCUUGGGGGGUGGAUUUGCUCGCUUUGCCCCUGUUUCCUCGUACCUGACCGCCGUGGGGGCCUCGCCGUUGCCGUGCCCGUGCGUGCGUGCAGAAUGCGUGUUUGCUGCGUGCGCCGCGCCGUUUUUCGCUGCACGCGCGCGUCCGCGGCCGCGCAGCCGCGGGAGGAGCCGAGGCGCGAGGGGUGGGGGGCGCCGUUUCGCUAGCUAGCGACGCGCGCGCGAUGACGUACGUGCGGCGUGCGCGCGCCACGCGCGUUUGCGCCGUCUCCUCCUCUCGGCUGUGGUUUUAUUUUUUCUCGACCGCGUACCGGGCGCGGCAGUACGCGGCCGCGUGGAGGUGGAAAUCGUCGCGUGGCGGUGGCGCGCGAGGCGGCUAACGUACGUGCGUACGUACGCCGGCGGACGCGCGCAGUGGCUAAGGUUGUUUGAUGAGACACGAGCAGGGCGGAUCCAACGUAGGUGCAGGGGGACUCGAGUCCCCCCUACACCCACCAGACCUAUAGAUACCUCUGGAAUACCCCCUUUAAUUUUUUCAUCAUAUAAAUGAUAAACUAAAGUUUUCUAAAUAGCUGAAGGUUAAAGAAACAGUGUAAUUGAGUCCCUCCAAUUUUUUUUCCUUAUCCGCCAGCGCGGGGAUACGGACAACGUGUAUAUGCAGCGGCGUAACGCGGGUGAGGGAGGCGCGGUUGGAUCGGAUCGUCACACGCCAUCGAGCCAAAAAAAAAAAUCUCUGUCGACCGGUGAUUUCCGCGAUCGGACGGCUCCCAACGCUGCGCUUUUUGGUGCCCUUUAUGAUGGGGCUGUCUACACAUUUAACGUUGAAUUUUCUCUAAAAAAAUCAGACGUAAGUAUAACAUAAUUCUUUAAUUAUAUAUUGUAACUUGUAUUUAACUAUAGUAUAACUCACACGUAACUUUCAAAAAUCACAUCGUAACACGCUAUUUGUACCAAGCGAAGGUCACGGGAUCAAAUCCCCUUACCUGUGCCUGCACUGUGAUUUUUUCCAUCCAUUCUUAUACAAAUAUUAAAGUAAAUCUAACGGUUUAAAAUUACAUCAGAGUUACUUUGUAAUUAUAUCAAGUUACGUUGUACUCCCUUCGUAUUUUAAUGUAUGACGCCGUUGACUUUUCAACCAACGUUUGACCAUUCAUUUUAUUCAAUUUUUUUAUGCAAAUAUGAAAAUAUUUAUGUCAUGCUUAAAGAACAUUUGAUGAUGAAUCAAGUCACAAUAAAAUAAGUGAUAAUUACAUAAUUUUUUUGAAUAAAACGAAUGGUCAAACAUUGAAAAAAAAAUCAACGGCGUCAUACAUUAAAAUAUAGAUGUAGUAUUUAUAUUUAAUAAAGUCUUAAAGAAAAUUUGUGAACAAACAUGUAGCAAAACCUUUUAUGAAUCAUCAUCAUCAUCGCAUAGAUGAGGUGAUCACGAGGACAAGUGAUAUGUAUCUUCAGAUAUUUUCGAGUGCGUGCUACCUGCAGCACGUAGUAACAUUUCUCUCGCCAAACUGCACCUAACGAAAAACGAUCGAUCACCCAAUCAACAAUACAAAACGAAUUGAUCCUCCCGCCGUGUCGAGCACAUCAAACAGUACGUACAUUAUGGUAGUGGUGACCAAGCUUGGAUGGAUGGGACAACUCGACGCAAGUAGCAGAGCUAAGCUAAUUAAUCCAGCAGCUUUGACGAAACGCCAAGCCUUAAAUUUGUCUGGCAACUUUGCUCUCGUACGUGUUCGGCUUACCAACUUGAGGCAUCACUAGCGAUUAGCUGAAGACGGAUCCAGUGAAUGGCAGCCACUUCUACGAGAUAACAGUAAACUUCUCGAUCAGUGUGAUUGGAUAUAUCUUACUGCUCGGCGAUAGAAAAGGUCGUCCGACAUACCAGUCUGUCCUUAAAAAAAAAAAGAUAAACUCUAGCUAUAAAUCUAGACAUAUACGUGUCCAGAUUCGUAGUUAGGAUUGAGCUUUUUUUAGACGGAGGGGUAAACAAACGGGUACCAAUUCCCUGUCGUUUUGCUUGCAAUUGGCAAUUGCAAGGAGAUAGUACAUGUAAUUGACGGGGGACGCAUCUAAGCCGUCGCCUUCGUUGGGACGAGCCAAAAUGUACGGCGGACAGGGACUUUGGGCAGCAAUUCAAGUUGUCAUUUUGGCUUCAGCUGGGCUUGUGAUAACGGCUGCCCAGAGAUAGAUCAUUGCUAAUCUGGGUGCAAAUAUAUAUUAUUCUAAUUCUGUCAUCUCUGUCCCGGGGUAGUUCGAGUAACUUAACACUGACAAUGGUCAUCUAAAUACACUGCCUCUUAGAAUCAGGUAAGAAGAGGCAUACGUUAUCGAACUAGCAUUAGUGGAGAAAUGAUAUUUGCUGGAUCAAUCUAAAACCACAAUAGUCCGGUUCCAAAAAGAACCGGGACUAAAAAUGAUUUUUAAUCCCGGUUGAAAACCCUACUGCCAUUUUAUGAUUUUUAGUUCCGGUUGGGAUUCCCAACCGGGACUAAAGAUCGGUUUAUCCCCAGUCAGAUGUAUGUUAGGAGGCCGAGGAUCUUUAGUCUCAGUUGGUGGCAUCAACCGGGACUAAAGAUUACCACUUUAGUCCCGGUUAGUAAUACCAACCGGGACUAAUAUAAAGAUCAAGUGAACGCGUAAUAUAUAAUCCCUAUUACUUAUCCUCUCCUCCACAAUCGCAACACAUAGAUCGAAUCUCUCCCUCUUCUCCUCCUCCACUCCUACAGGCCUCUCUUCUUCUCCUCCUCCACUCCUACAAAUCUACCCUCUCUUCCUCUCCUCCACCUCCUCCUCUCCUCCCCCUCCUCCCCUUCCUAUCCGUCGGGCCGGUGGGCGGCGGACAGGCGGCCGGAGGCCGGUGAGGCUGCGCCCGGCAGCCGGCGGCCGUGGCGAGCGGCGGCAGCGGCUUCGUUUUUCGUUUUUUUAAUAAUAUGUGAUUCACUGAUAUGUAUAAAUUUGUGAUUUAUUGUAUGAAUCUGUGAUGUAUUUGAUUUGUGUGUAAUUUUUUAGGAUCUGUGAUGUAUUUGAUUUGUGUGUUAUUUUUUAGGAUUUGUGAUGUAUUUGAUUUGUGUGUAUAAGUAACUUUAAGAUUUGUGAUGUGAAUUUCGGAUGUUACUUUGAUUUGGGAAUUUGGGGUUUGAUUUGGUGAUUUGCAUGCCACUUGAUUCGGGAGAAAAUAAAAAGGAAAAAAAAGAAAAGGGGGCCAUCUUUGGUUAUUUCACCCGGGACUAAAGAUAGCGAUCUUUAGUUCCGGAUUGAUAGUAAACUGGAACUAUAUGGGGUUACAAACUGGGACUAAAAUACACUUCUCUACCAGGGGAUUUGACAGAAGAAAUAUUCAACGUUAUAGAUACCAUAAUCGAUCACCAUCGGCCACAACGCAACAGUGAACUGCGAAGGGCACACUGCACCGAGUGCAACCCUAUUAUCAAAACUUCAAAAGCGACCUCGAACAUGCGAGGUUCACCAAACCAUUCUUGAGAAAAAAACACAGGGUUAACAGUUUUUUUUUUUGGUUUUUGUGAAAUCGGAAAUCUGGUUUAGUUUUAUCAAAAAUAUUGAAAUUUAGUUUGAUUUUUAAAAACUUGAUUGGGAAAUCCAGCGGUCUGCGUUCGCAAAAAAAUAUCUAGUUUCAUGGGGUAAACACUGCCAACAUAUCUCCACCGGUCUUCCCCUUAAUUCUUGAGUGCAUUUUGUUUGUUUGAAUUUUUUUUAAAAGAAAAAAAUCGACGUCUCGUUAGUGCUCGAAUUUCACUGACAAAAGAUGAGGUAAACCCCCAACAUGGAAUGCAUAGAUCACGUUAUUGUUCUAAUAUUGAUCACGUACUGAGUAGGGAUCUCUCAGUGGCGCCCCACAUGCUCACGCAAAGAUAUUCUAAAGCAUGUAAUCAAAAUCUCUCUUGGAAUCCUCCAUAGGCCAUGCACAGAGCGGGGAUAUAGUGAGUAUCCCUAGCUUGCCAUGUUGGAUCUACAUGUCCACCCUAGCCUCUGUUCUAUCCCCGCAGAGGCACAAUGGCCUCAGGGCGAGUACUAUAAUGACCCAUAUGUUGUCCCUAAGAAUACCACAUUGAAUUGAGUGAUGAUGUGGAUGAGAGAAGUGAGGAGAGAGAUGAUGAGCCACCCCUAAAUCAAGAGGCAACCUCCACACAAAUUUCAAAAAGGAUGUGAGAGUAUUAGAUAUAUUAAUAUUUGUAUACUAGAGGUGAUACAUUGUAUGAGUUGCCUCUUAAUUCAUUAUUGAAUAAAAUAGAUAAAUUUGGAGGUGAUAGUCACAUCUACCAUAGCACUUGCCCUCACCAGGCCAAGGGCAGGAACACGUGGAGGAACAACUCCCAAGGAAGCGACCAAAUAGUGUUUGGGACGAGAGAAUGAGUGCGGCACGGGGAAGGGCAGCUUACUGCCAGACUGUAGGAAGCUCAUCGGUCAGCCGUCCCCAAUCCGCUAGCACCAGGGGCCGCUCAAGUAGAUCCACCGCCAUUAUAGCUGCUUUGAAACCUAAAGUUGUGGUUGCCGUGGCCGCUCCACUAGAAGAGUUAGUAUCCUAACAGUGUACUUAUCCUACCUAUGACCCUGAGACCCCUUCUAGGGAAGACUUUUCUAGGGCUAUGCCAACUUUUCGAUGUCUUUAUCAGAUAGGAGCACUGGUUUCUUCUUGUUUGACCAGUAACAAGACACAUACCUGUUUGGUCCAAGGUGCCACCUAGGCAUAAGACCCAUGAAAGAUACAAGGUCUAUGGUGCAUGUGUCAUCAAGUAGAAGCUUAAAUAAAUAUUACCUCCAUUCCAAAAUGUUUGACGCCGUUGACUUUUUAAAAAAUGUUUGACCGUUCGUCUUAUUCAAAAAAUCUAAGUAAUUGUUAAUUCUUUUCCUAUCAUUUGAUUUAUUGUUAAAUAUACUUUUAUGUAUACAUAUAGUUUUACACAUUUUACAAAAGAUUUGAAUAAGACGAAUGGUCAAACAUAUUUAAAAAAUUCAACGGCGUCAAACAUUUAGGGUAGGAGGGAGUAUACCCAAAGUCACGUAUUGGAAGCCACAAGCCUCACCUCCGUAGUGCGGCCAAGAUCUCUCCCUCUCCACGCUACACGCUCUCGAUAACUUCAAAGAACACAUGAUCCUCUUUGAACGCGUGAUCUUCAGGUUUUGAUAGGUUCAGACGCGGACGUGAUGCUGAGUCUCCAAGGUGGAGUGCUCGGGCUGAAAGCCACGUUGCACUAUGAAGGCCCUUAACAACGUCAUCACAUCUAAGCAAAAUGUCACGUAGUCUAGUGGUUGCAGUGACUUGAGUAGCACUCUAAGGUACCGAGUUUAAAUCUAUAUAGGAGUGGAUUUCAGAUUAAGUUAUUUCAUGGGCUAAUUUAAAAAGUCUGCAUAUAUAUCCGGUUGGAUAUAGAGGCUGGAUGAAAAAUAUUCUUCUCUAAAAUAAAAUAAAUAAAUAAAUUAAAAAGCCAAAUCUCUAUGCAGAUUUCAGAUUAGAUUGUUUUAUAGCCUAAUUUAAAAAGGCUGCACAUAUCCGGUUAAAUAUAGAGGCCGGAUAGAAAAUAUCCUUAUAUGAAGUAAAAUAAAUAAAUUAAUUAAAAAGCGUGUGCUUCCGAGAGUCCGAGAUCCGUACGUGAACUUUUGAGCUGUGACAUUUGCUGACAUGGAUGGAUAAAUUAAGCUUCAACAGUACGAAACGGCCUUUGUUUUGUUUUUGCCUCUGUUUUGCUUCCGUGCCUGGCCGCUCAGCUAGCUCGAAGCAAUCGGAUAGUAAAAGUUCCAACUGCUCGUACGAAACGGCAUAACGCGGGGCCACUCCAGUACGCGGAUCAACAGUGAGAGCAGCAGUAGCUGUAACUCUGUAAGCUGUAGCUAACGAUUCCAUAUGAAUAUUCCGGUUCUGAUCUGAUCGUUUGAUGUACUGCUCGGAGAGUGAGGGGCCGAGUGGCCCGACAUGCGCAGUCGAUCGACAAAAUGUUUUCCUAAUUUUUUUUUUAAAAACAUCACAUCGAAUUUUGGACACAUGCAUGAAGCAUUAAAUAUAGAUAAAUGAAAAAACUAAUUACACAGUUAGGGAGGAAAUCGCGAGACGAAUCUUUUGAGUCUAAUUAGUUCAUGAUUAGCCAUAAGUGCUACAGUAACUCACAUGUGCUAAUGACAGGAUAAUUAGGCUCAAAAGAUUCGUCUCGCGGUUUCCAAACAAGUUAUAAAAUUAGUUUUUUUAUUCGUGUCCGAAAAACCCUUCCGACAUUCUAUCAAAAAUCCGAUGUGGCACCCAAAAAUUUUCUUUUCUCGAACUAAACAGGCCCAUUAAUGUCGCUCGCUUACAAUUUGCACGGAGACGAGAGACGCAAGCAAAAUCCAUGGAGCGAGCCAUCUGAUAGCUCAAGCAUACCUGCACGUACGACUCCCUCCGUCCUGAAAUAAGCACAGACAUGAGUUUCCGUGUCCAACUUUAAUCGUCUGUUUUAUUUAUUUUUUUUAAAAAGAACCUUAAAAACUUAAGUAAUGUAUAAAGUAUUAUUCAUAUUUUAUAAUCUAAUAAAAAUAAAAAUAUUAAUCAUAAAAGAAUUUUAAAUAAGACGAACAAUUAAAGUUGGAUAUGGAAACUCAUAACUGCGUUUAUUUUGGAACAGAGGUAGUACAGCGGAGAUUGGGGGCUGUUUUGGUUUUAUGCCAAAAACUUGCCCUACCGAAUAGCUGGCAAUUUAAAUAGUACUUUGUAGAUGUUUGGAUUGAUGCCAAUAUUUGCCAUAGCUAAUAUAACUCAUAUAGUCCAACUCUACCAAAACAUUGGUAGUGCCAAAACAUGCCCAAGAUUUGGUUCUACCAAUGGUUUGGUAGGGCAUCAAACCAAAUCAGCCCUGGACUUGGGAGUCUUGGAGCCGUCAUUUGACUUCAUAGUACUCUAGUGCAUUUUAAUACAACACCAAUCAAAUACUCCUUUGGUCUCAUUUUAAACGCAGCCAUAAGUUUCUGUGUCCAACUUUGAUCGUCCAUCUUAUCUAUUUUUUUUAAAAAAAUUAAAAACAUAAAUUACAGAUAAAAUAAUAUUCACGUUUUAUCGUCUAAUAAUAAUGAUGAUGAUGAUGAUUCUUUUUUAAAUAAGAUGAACGAUUAAAGUUAGACACAUAAACUCAUGGUUACGCUUACAAUGUGACAGAGGGAGUAGAAGGCCUCUUCUAUCAUCGAAGUAUUCAGGGAACUACAAUAUGAGACAUUAUUUGGCACCAAAACUAAUUUGAUAGGUAUGGUAGAAAGAUUAGCAUUUCAACUUCGUAUAUGCUGUUUAGUAGCAUUAUCUUAAAAUACAUAUAUAUGCCGUUUAAUUUUUCUCUUGUAGUAGAAAAAUACAAGUAUUGAGUGUUAGCCAGGAGUUUUUAUAAAUUAACAAAGUGUUAGCCGGAUGUAUAAACAUACUAAGAAGAUUGUAGAACUACAUAUAGGAAAAACAAAGAACAGAAAACCGAGGAACUAUAAAGCCUUUUGCAUAUUCCCGAAAAAACAUAUACUCCUAUCAACCCUGCUAUACGUCCGACGCAAAUCAUCCGACUACCAUACGACUGAAACGGCAACAACGAACGCUGAAACGGCAACAACGAACAACGUGACGGCGUGAGACGACUCUCUGUAUAUGAAUCGGUCCAAUGCCAUGCAAGCCCAUAUACAAGUCUAGACUCUAAGCCCAAACUCAGGAAGACAGCAUUAACAUGGUGGACAUGGCUACACAACUGUUCUGCCGGAGUUUUGGUCGAUCUCAAUCACUGCCUGCUAACUUCGAUCUCUAUCUAACAUUCUCUUGUAAUGUUUUCACAGCUGCAGAUGCCCAUUUUCCAGACAAGUUUUUUUUUAACCCUCUUAAUAUACUCCCCCGUUUCAGGUUAUAAGAAGUUUUGACUUUGAUCAAAGUUAAACUGCUUGAAGUUUGAUCAAAUUUGUAAAAAAAUAGUAACAUUUUCAUCCCAAGAUAUUGUAAAUAUUACUAUAUUUAUCUAUAAACUUAGUUAAAUUUAAAGUAGUUUAACUUUGAUCAAUGUCAAAGUAGUUUAACUUGUAAUAUGAAACGGAGAGAGUAUAUACCAUAGUUUCAAGUUCUAUUUUUAUGGCUAUAACAGGUUGCAUUAAACAAAAUAUAAAUGCAGUGAUGUCCAAAACCACAAGCAUAGUUUCUAAUUCUUAAAUAAAAAUAAAACAUGCAAAUAUUCUGUUUAGUUCUCUGAUUGAAAUCACAAGACUACAACCAAGUUUGAUCACUGUUUCAUAAGAUAUGCAAAGCAAACGUCUAUUUAGCUGCUUAGCUUUGACUUGGGCUUUUGGAAGGCGCAACGAGAUGGAGAAUCACACCGGAGCUGAAUAGAUCACGUCGCUUACGCCGUGGUCGUACGACAGUCGGACGCCGUAGUCGUGUGUGUAGCAUUUUCCUACUCCUAUAUAUCUCCAACCUAACAGCAUGAUGUGUGUGUAUAUAUAUAUAUAUGUAUAUAUAUAUAUAUAUAUACAUAUAUAUAUACAUAUAUAUAUAUAUACAUAUAUAUAUAUCUAUACCUGAUAAGGAUAACAAAAGCCUUGAUAUUAUCAAUCAUUCACUGUUAUAAACAUUCAACCGGUUUAAAAUUUUCACAUCCUAAAAUGACAGGGAGGUGUAUAUCCCUUCCAAUGGGGAGAAAAGCUCUUGAAAAUAAUGCAUUGUCUUAUAUAUGGUUGAAAUAUAGUGAUAAACUAUUCAAUCUCAUCGUGGGAUUACCUCAACAAUAAAAUUUAAAAAAGAGUUAUUAUGUGGAAUCUGUAGAUGCCUAUUGGUUGAAAUAUAGUGAUAAACUAUUCGAUCUCCUCGUAGGAUUACAUCAGAAUAAAGUUUAAAGAAUAUUAUUAUUGUGUAGAAUUUGUAGAUGCCGGUCGACUAACCACCGUUCACUCUUUUUUGUCUUAUCUCUCUCCUCAAUGGUGACAUGGCCACAAAUACUCCUACAUAGUGAGCUAUAUAAGUCAACUUGGAAUAAGUGCACUUGAGGUCCCUUAACUUAUCAACGAAUCCGAUUUUCGUCCUUCAACCGAAAAACCAGAUACAAUGGUCCCUCAACUAUCAAAACCGGUGCAAAACAGGUCCCUCAGUGGUUUUGAUGGUGGUUUUGGCUGAUGUGGCGCCUACGUGGCCGGUUUGACUUGGUCCUCAUCUUACGUGGCGGUGACAUGGCAUUGGAAGCAAAAUAUAAAAAUAAAAACAAAAUGUGGGGCCCACAUGUCAGUUAGACCAAAGAAAAAAGAGUGGGACCCACCAUCAUCUCUAUCCACGGACGAGUGGACGAUGGGAGAGGGAGCGACCGACGCCUCCUCUCUCCCCACCCAGCAUCUUUCCUCGCCGGCCGGCGAGCGUGCGCGGAGAGGGAAAAAGGCGUUGGCCAGCGAGGGGGGCGAAGACGGCCGCUGGCCGCCCGUCCUUUGCGCGCGGAUCAGCUCGCCCUGAAUGAUCCUCCGCUGCAGCAUCUUGCCGCCGUGCGGCCAGUCGAAGGAGUUGACGGCGUUCAGCAUUGCCGCAUCGACGUGGCUGUCCAUGUUGAAGCUGAUCGGCGUCCGGUGAGACCUUCUCGAAGCACACGUAGCAGGUCACGCUACUUCCGGGGCACGGUGGCGGCGGCGCCAUGGCCGUGCCGCCGCUGCUGUUCUUCUCCUCCGCCUGCUGCUGCUGGAUCACGAUGCCGGCCUCCUUGAGCAUGCGGUCUCGGCCCUCCCUGAGCAUGUGGUCUAGGAUGGAUUCCAUCUUCCAGCGGUGUUGGAUGAGGGCGCGAGCCUUUAUGUAGAGCAGUGUUAACUACCCCCAAGAACAGAGGAAGAAUCGCCCAAACAGAACAACGAUACACACACACAGAUGGAUUUCACCAACCCGACAGGGUUGAUGCCGCCGCCGCCUUCGCCGCCUAGUUCAUCCUCAACUCAUCCAAAUGAAUACAGAGUUAGUUUUAAGAUGCUCUCUCUCUCACACGCAACUAUCGACAGCCUGGACAUGGUGCUCAUAUGGCCCAUUCCGGCCCACUCACUCUAGGAUUACAUACUCGGUGCCUAACAGGUCUUCCUUCCUUAGUCUGCUUAACCUCCUUGGUCUUGACAGUGUUCUGUAGCUCAUCCGGUAUAGCUGUGCUGCUGACAACCCCCUCUCCUUGAGAAGUGGCUUGACCCCAAGCCAAGGCAUUAGGAAAACGCUGACACAACUCAACUUGAUCCUCCCAAGUUUCCUGUCCUGCAACAUUUCUAGACCACCGAAUUAAAACUUGAGCUUUCACAGAGUUACCUUUCCUGAUCUGACGAGAAGCCAAGAUAACCACUGAAACUUUAAGGUCAGAACAUGCAGGCAAACACGGUUGAACAGAAUGCCUGAACCCAACAGCAUGCUUAAGCUGUGAAACAUGAAAAACAGGGUGAAUGGAGCUCUCUGCAGGAAGAGACAACUUAUAAGCCACCUUGCCCACCCGAUGUAAAACUUGAAAAGGACCAAAAUAACGGAAUGAUAGUUUAUGAUUUGCUCUUUUUGCCACAGAGGACUGAAUAUAAGGUUGCAAUUUCAAGUAGACCCAAUCUCCAUCAGAAAAUUCUCUGAAACUGCGCUUUUUGUCUGCAUACAGCUUCAUUUGUUGCUGGGCACGAUUCAGGUGUUGUUUCAGUAACUGAGUCAUCACCUUACGUUCAUUUAACCACUCAUGCAAAUCAGGUACUGAGCAGGCAUCAUCCCUUAUACCAAAAUGACCAGGAGGAUAGCCAUAGAGAGCUUCAAAUGGAGACUGAAGAAUGGCAGAAUGGUAAGAAGUGUUAAACCAAAAUUCUGCUAAAUACAACCAAGAACUCCAUUUAUGAGGAACAGCAUGAACAAAACAUCGCAGAUAUAUUUCCAAACAUUGGUUCACACGCUCAGUUUGUCCGUCUGUCUAGGGGUGAUAAGCGGUGCUUAGUUGCAAUUGUGUGCUGGAUCUCAAAAACAACUGCUCCCAAAAGUGGCUAGUAAAAAUCUUGUCGCGGUCUGAAAUGAUGAACUUAGGUAACCCAUGUAACUUGUAAACAUUGACCAUAAAAGAUUGAGCCACAUCAAUAGCAGAAAAAGGAUGGGACAAUGGAAGGAAAUGAGAGUACUUGGAAAACUUGUCAACCACCACUAAAAUACAGUUGAAUUGACCAGACUUAGGCAAACCUUCAAUAAAGUCCAUGGUGAUAAUCUGCCAUGCACCAUCAGGGACAGGAAGGGGCUGAAGAAGACCAGGGUAUUUAGAGCGAUCUGGUUUGGCCUGCAUGCAAAUACCACAUGUCUUGACAGUAGUAUGAAUCUGUUUCUUCAUCUUGGGCCAAGCAAAAAGAGACUUGAUUUUACUAUAAGUAACAGGAAAACCAGAGUGCCCCCCCAAAGGACUACUGUGCAACGCAGAGAUAAUCUUAUCCUGCACAGAUGGAUUGUUACCUAUCCAGACUUUGCCUUUAAAGCGAAGGACACCAUUACACAAAGAAAAAUUGGGCCGAGACUCAGCAUUAAGAGUCAAGUCAGUCAAAAGUUGAGUAGAAAAGGCAUCUUGAAGAUAACCAUCAGAAACCUCCUGAAGCCAUACAGGACUGCAACUGGAAACCACAUGUAGUUCAGAUAACUCUUCAAGAAAGUGCAUCAGCUGCAGCAUUACUGGAUCCCUUCCUGUAGCAAAUCUUAAACUGAAGGCCCAACAACUUAGUAAAAGCUUUGUGUUGCCAAGGGGUGUGCAGCCUUUGUUCAUUCAAGUGCAUUAAACUAUGGUGAUCAGUUAAAAUGACAAACUCUUGCUGCUGCAGGUAAGAUCUCCAAUGGUCCACAGCUAAUAAAAUAGCCAAAUACUCCUUUUCAUAAGUGGAAAGACCCUUAGUUUUAACCCCCCAAGGCCUUACUAAGAAAGGCAAUCGGAUGACCAUGCUGAGAUAACACAACACCAAUACCUUCAUCACUAGCAUCAGUCUCAACAGUGAAAGGCAAAGAAAAAUCAGGAAGAGAUAACACAGGAGCAGAUACCAAAGCUUGCUUAAGAGCCUUGAAAGCCUGAUCAGCCUCCACAGACCAGACAAAAGGAACAUCCUUCUUUAACAGGUUGGUCAAAGGCCUGCAAAGGAUCCCAAAUUGCUUGACAAACUUCCUAUAAUAACCUGCCAAACCCAAAAAUCCCCUGAGCUUUUUGACAGAUUUUGGAACUGCCUAAUUAACCACUUCCUCAAUCUUAGCAGGAUCAGUAGUGACUCCUUGAUCACUGAUAAUAUGACCUAAAUAUGACAAUUGAUGUUGAGCAAAAGAACAUUUAGACAAUUUAACUUUCCACUGAUGCUUAGUCAACAACUGCAGAACUUGUCGAAGAUGGUGGACAUGAGAAACUAAAUCAGGGCUGCAUACAAGUAUAUCAUCAAAAAACACAAGAGCAAACUUCCUUAACACAGGAGCCAAAGUAUCAUUCAUGGCGCCUUGAAAUGUUGCAGGAGCUCCAGUAAGGCCAAAAGACAUAACACGAUAUUCAUAAUGUCCAGAGUGAGUUUGAAAAGCAGUUUUGUGCUCCUCACCCUCCACCAAUCUGAUCUGGUGAUAACUAGCCCUAAGGUCCAGCUUGGAAAAAACUUUGGAUCCAGACAAUUCAUCCAAUAGUUCAUCUAUAACAGGCAUAGGAAAUUUACCCUUCACAGUGAUGGAGUUCAACUGUCUAUAAUCAAUGCACAAGCGCCAGGUACCAUCCUUCUUCUUAACUAACAAUGCUGGGGAAGAAAAUGCACUAUUGCUGGGUUGAAUGACCCCUGACAACAACAUUUCCUUAACCUGCUUCUCUAUUUCAUCUUUCUGUGCAGGGUUAUGACGAUAAGGUUUGAGGAAGACAGGUUUAGCAUCUGAUUUCAGUGGAAUGGAAUGGUCACAAGCUCUCUUAGGUGGCAGGCCUUGAGGAUCAUCAAAUAGGGCAGAAAAUUCAGUAAGAAGAGAUUGAAUUUCAGGAGGAAUGUGACCUAACUUGGCAGUGGAAACUUCCUGAAGAUGAAGAACAUGCAUGAUGGAUCCCAACUUAAACAUGCCUUGCAAUUGAUCACCACUGAUACAAGAACAAUGAGUAGUUUGAGACUGAAUUCCCUUAAUGGUCACCAAGGAAUCUGCUCUAGCGAAUUCCAUGCACUUAGCAGCCCAAUCAAUGUUCAUAGAUCCCAAAGUGACUAACCAAUCCAUCCCUAAUAUAAUAUCAUAGCAACCCAAAGGCAACACCUUAAAGUCAGUUUUAAAAAUUUGACCCUGAGUCCACCAGUCACAACCAGGAAUAUACUGAGAGCAUGAUAUCACACCACCAUCAGCAACUUUAACUGAAACAACAUGCUGUAAACAUUGGAUACCCUGAAGUUUUUGUGCCACAGUAAUAUCAAUGAAGGAAUGAGAACUACCAGAAUCGACUAACAUGAGUAAUUCAUACCCCUGUACCCAGCCAUUUAACCGAAAAGAAGUCAAGGAUUCAGUACCAGUAACAGCCUGAUAAGAAAUAGCCAUAAAAACUGGUUCUACAGGUUCAGAUACAGUAUCGACGGACUCAUGGUUUAACUGAUCGUCCUGCAACGCAGCUAAAAGUUCCUGAACAACAUGUAACUGAACCGAGGAGCCACACUUAUGCUCUCUGCUCCAAUGCUCACCACACGUGAAACAAAGGCCUUUAGCACGCUUGUAGGAUUUCAAGGCAGAAAACUUAUCAGAGCGAGACUGUGAGAAUUCAGACUGUUUCCUAUCCUCCAACACAGAACCUUGAGGAUGGUUGGACACAGGAGAAACAGGUGCAGGUUGGCGAGCAAAAUUUUUAGACAACAAAAUCGGCUCAGGUUUCCUGUACACAGCAGGGUGACUUCCUUCUAGUAUUUCCUCUUGCAAAAAAGCCAACGAACACGCUGUAUCCAAAUCUUGAGGUUUCUGCAUCAAAACUCCAGAUCUAAUGUCUUUCCUCAGUCCUUCCACGAACUUGGUAACAAAAUAAUUCAGAGGCAAAGAACUAUCAUAAGCCAACAACUGAUGCAUAAUACCAUCGAAUUUCUCCACAUAAUCAGAAACUGAAGAAUCCUGAACAAUGUGAAACCACUGCCGAAUCAAGACCUUCUGCCUAUCCUUAGUGAAACGAAGACAAACUUGAUCAAAGAACUCUUGCCAAGUAACCCCGACCAGUUUGGAACGCACCGAUUGUAACCAAAAAGCAGCGUUGCCAGUAAAAUUCAGUCCAGCCACACACACCCAAUUCUUAGGAUGAACACCAUAAACCUCAAAGUACUCCUCGCAAUUACUCUUCCAGAGCUGACGACUAUCACCAUUGAAUUGCGGACAAGACAUAGGUGGAACAUUACCCCCAAUUCCCGAAGCACCCAAAAGAGCAGAGGCAAACGCAGACUGUUCCAGAGCAGAGGGGAGCGAAGUAAAUUGGGGCGGAGUUUGCAUACCAUCGGGCGAACCCGGAGAAGAAGGGGAAGGACGAGGUGGCUGCUGCACCAAGGACUGGAGUUUGUCGACUUGAUCUUGGAGUCCCACCACCGAAACGUGCAAAUCAUCCACGCGCUUCUCCACCACCGGCAUUCGGGAUUCCACCGCCACUUUGAGAGCCAAAAACUCAGAUCGGCUCUUCUCUUCCGACAGCUCCCGAUGCUUCUCACUCUCCUCCCGUUUCUUCUCCACCUCCUCCAUCUUCCUCAACAAGAGAUCGAGCUUACUUUCCUAAUCCAUGAUCUUGGCCGCUUGCUUGGUCACGUAGCGAGGCUUGUCGUAGCACGCCGUGAUUGACGAACUCGCUCGAGAUCUCGCCGACCUAGUUGAGGGAGCCGAAGCUUUUGCGGAAUAUAGUUGCCGAAGCAACAAAUUCCCACCUCACCCAGGAAUUACAGCAAAAUCAAGAGGAGGAAAAAAUUUCGGCAAGGCUCUGAUACCAAUUUGUUAACUACCCCCAAGGACAGAGGAAGAAUCGCCCAAACAGAACAACGAUACACACACACAGAUGGAUUUCACCAACCCGACAGGGUUGAUGCCGCCGCCGCCUUCGCCGCCUAGUUCAUCCUCAACUCAUCCAAAUGAAUACAGAGUUAGUUUUAAGAUGCUUUCUCUCUCACACGCAACUAUCGACAGCCUGGACAUGGUGCUCAUAUGGCCCAUUCCGGCCCACUCACUCUAGGAUUACAUACUCGGUGCCUAACAGGUCUUCCUUCCUUAGUCUGCUUAACCUCCUUGGUCUUGACAGUGUUCUGUAGCUCAUCCGGUACAACUGUGUUGCUGACAAGCAGGUUCAUCACGAUGGACAAGUCUUGUUGCUGUGUACAUAUAUACAAGGGGUAGAGCAUGUCAAGAAACACAAUGUAAUUUGUUACCGGUACUAAUUGCUGUAGCACAAGCUGCAUAGAACAAUGUCAGGCAAAUUAUAAACCUCAACUUUGAGCAAUGUCAGUCAGGUGGAGUGAAUCACAUUAGUACUGGUUCAGCGUCGGAGGAGUUGACGGCGUUCAGCGUCGCCGCGUCGACGCGGCUGUCCAUGUUGAAGCUGAUCGGCACCACCUCGUCGUCGACGUAGUACGUGUUCCGCAGUGACGCAAGCAGCCGCCGCAGCGACUUGGCGCGGUUCUGCGUGAUGGUGUUCACCGAGAUCCGCAUCCUGUUCCAGUCUGCGUGAAAUCCAUAGAUUGGUUAGAGCUUUGAUGUAGUUUUUGGUUGCAACAAUGGCGGAUGAGAGCUUUGAGGUAGAAUAAGCUUACUGGGCAGCGAGGUGGGGCUGAGGGUGGCCAUCCAGAGAACCUUGGAGAUGGAGUUGCUGACUUCGAUGUUGGCUCAGCCCAGGAACACUCUCACACUCACGAACACAAACGCCGGUGAGGGAGACGAUGAACAAUGGAUUUUACAGCGACGAACGCCGCGGAGCCGAUCGCUCCUGUAUCUUGGCUUUAUUCCUCACUGAACCUUGCAAAGAAACAACGAAGGAGUACAGGGGCCUCUUAUAGACCGGUGACACACCGGGAGCUAGCCUCCAUGCCGGCCAUUGCGCCACGUUCCGCAGAACCCGCUCGACGUCGCCGUGAGCCACACGCUCGCCCGGACGACGCGGCUUCCUCCGCAAGAACCGACGCCACGCACACCACGCACUCCCACGACUCGAUCAACACUGCAACGGCCAUGCAAACAACCAUGCAGCAGCCAUGCACUCGCGAUCACGACUCAAUCAAACUAACAGAACGCACACGACGCACACAUGCAGCAGCACGACACACACACACACUGACUCAACCACGCCAGGAAUACACCAUGACGUGUUUAUUUCCAACAUUCGACACCAAGCUCAAGGCCAACGGCGCCGACCUCCCGGACUACUUCGUCCUCACCCUCCUCACUGUCAUCCACGCCAUCCUCCCGCAGCCCUCCGACUCCUGCAACCCUAGCUCUGCGUCGCAGCCCGCCGAAGAGUAUUGCGCAGCGGCCAGCGGCCAGCGGCAGUCUCCGCCCCCCUCGCCGGCCAACGCCUUUUUCCCUCUCCGUGCGCGCUCGCCGGCCAGCAACGAAGGAUGCCGGGAGGGAGAGAGAGGAGGCGCCGGUCGCUCCCUCUCCCGUCGUCCACUCGUCCGUGGAUAGAGAGGAUGGUGGGUCCCACUCUUUUUUCUUUUGUCUAACUGACUUGUGGGCCCCACAUUUUGUUUUUAUUUUCUAUUUUUAUAUUUUUCUUCCAAUGUCACGUCACCGCCACGUAGGACGAGGACCAAGUCAAACCAGCCACGUAGGCGUCACAUCAGCCAAAACCACCAUCAAAACCGCUGAGGGACCUUUUUUGCACCGGUUUUGAUAGUUGAAGGACCCAUUAUAUCUGGUUUUACGGUUGAAGGACGAAAAUCGGAUUCGUUGACAAGUUAAGGGACCUUUAGUGAACUUAUUCCAGUCAACUUUGUAUAUGCCAUUAGCCCAUUAUACUCUAACCAUGACGGUACGUGGGCUGCUUUUUUGGUAGGCCGUAGGCUUAAGAAAACUUUUUGGUGGGCCUAGCAGAACUGUCUAGGCCGGACAGCCCAACACAAUGUCAUGGCAUGCGCGACCCACAAAAAGUGAAACAGGAAACCCAAACUGUUUCUUUUGCCUUGUAGAUACAAUUCCCACCUACAAGAACAGUGCUGUCACUCCGUUGAAAUGAAAAUUUUCACUCUACGUCCCUCGUCUAAGAGCCGAAUUUCAAUCUGAUCAUUCAACAGUAAAACUAAGUGCAACACAUCAUUAUGUUGCAAAACCGGUGUAAGUGAGGUUUCAAGCCAAUAUUGAGUCCAAUUUAGACUAACGUGAUACCUAUAUGGCUUAUUUGAUUUGGUUUUCAUCCUACGUGUUAUUGACGUGACACCUACCUAUAUCACUUAAAGCAAAAAAAAAAUAAAGUAAAUAAUUAAAACAAUUAUAUAGGGCCCAUUGACAGCAAAAAAUUAAAAUAAAUAAUUAAAACAAUUAUAUAGGGCCCACUGACAGCAAAAAUUUAAAAUAAAUAAUGAAAACAAUUUAUAUAGGGCCCACAUGUCAGUGGGUGCCUAUUAAAAAUAUACAAGUAAUAAACCUACAUGUCACUCACCUGGAUUAUAAGUUGUCGAUCGAACACUCGAACUCAAGAAUUUUUUUUUUCAAGAAAAGCUGUAUAUAGAUGUGUUACAUGCGAGUGCAAUUUUGCGUUCCAAAGUGCAUAAACAAGUUUGGAGGUUUGACUAUCAGUCAGGGACUACCGCCGGCGUCGAGCAGCUCGCCGCAGUCCGGGUUGGGACAGCUAGCGCGCGAAGGCGCCUGAGCCGCUGACCGACGGCGAGCUCGCAGAGCGCGACGCCACCACGCGUACGUCGAAGCCGCCGAUGUAGAGGUAGAGCAGGUUAAUUCUUAAAGUCCUCCGGGGUGCACGACGGCGUCGCAGUCGCAGUGGAAGUCCGGGAAAGGGCAGCGCAGCGCACGGGCACCUCUCCUCCUCCGCCGCGACGCGGGGCCUCGCUCGCGACGUGGCUGACGACGACGCAGGCGAUGCAGAGCUCGCGUACGUGCGCGCACCCGUCGGACACGCGGCGGCCGUCGUACAGAAGUACAGCAGCCUCGGCUCGUCGCAGAUCUCUCGCAGUGGAGCCACCCGAUGUCGUCGUCGCUGAUCGAGCGGCGGCACGUGGCGGGACGCCUCCCUGGCCGAUCGAUUACGCCGACGGCAUGCAGGCCUCGAGGAACUCCUGGUUGGGCUCCAGCGCCGCCUCGGCCGCCAUGUUUCUGUCGAAUGCUUGCUUUUGCUUCUGCGAGGAAUGAACACGUUUCAGCUACUUUGUUCAUGGGAAACUGUUUGAUGCUCACAACUGACAAAUUGUUUAUGUAACCGUUGGCAGAUCCAGCUAGGACCUGAGAAGGUUCCGUGACAUCACUAAAGAAAUGUGCUGAAAUUAUUUUGCAUGUACAUGUACAUCUUCAAAAAUCCAUCUUUCCCAAGAUAUUAGUAUUUUUUGACUUCAAUACAGUCUUCGAGAUGCUAUACAUUAACCAAUAAUAUCUAUAAAAGUAAGAUGUUUUAAAUAAAAAAAUAUUGCAUACUAUGAUAGUUUGUUCAAUGAAAAUAUAGUAACAUCAAAUUUACGUGAUCGAUCUUUUUUAUUUUUUUCCUAUUAGCAGUCAAUUUUAAAAAUGUUUGACUUAGUACUAUUCUAAAAAAUACUUAUAUUUUUAUAUUUUAGGACGGAUGAAGUAACCAAUAGCAAUAUUAGAAAUUUAACAAGCUUAGAAAUUAAUGUACCCUUUAAUAUAAAAAAGAAAUAUACUAUAGGUAUCUAAUUAAGACUGCGUUCGUUCUUGAGCUGAACAUCUGAGAUGGAAAUUGGAGCAAGCAAUUAACAUAUGAUUAAUUAAUUAAUUAUUACUAUAAAUUUGAAAAAUAAAUUUAUUUGAUUUUUAGUAACUUUUAUAUGAUUCUUUUAUGAAAUAUAUUGUUUAGCAGUUCGGGAAUUAUGCUAAUUAAGAAUGAGAUAUUACCUUAAGCCUAGAUGCCGGAACAAAAACAACCUAAGUGUGUGUUAAAGGCGUGCACUUAUAUGGAUGCGCAUGCUAAUAAUAGUGCACACACAUAUUUUCCAUGUAAUAAAAUUAGGAUUCACCCAAAAAAACACAUUAUAUUCGCAGCCUGCGCUAACCUGCAGGGAGCCAUAUAUAAAAUUUCGUUUUUUUUUUAUCAAAAGUGGGCAAUCUGUAAGAAAUCGUUAGCUCAGCCUAUCGUGGGCUGAAGUACUAACAGAGAGUAACAGGCUACUGGGCUCAUCCCCUUGUCCUUAACCAAGUUUCUACCGGUUCUCUCGCCCAAAAGACAAUAUCAACGCGCCUCAGCUUUGUCCAAUCAUACUCACUAGUCGCCAUAUACAGAUGAAAAAAAAAUGUUCCAAAUAUUGGUCGAUGAGAAAUCGCGACAUAUCAUUAUCGUUUCCGUCAAGAACAAGAACUCCGCAUAUACAAAUGGAGUAAUGGAAACAGGUUGAAUCGAAUGAUCGCCGACUCGCUACAGAACAUUACUAGCAAUGAUUCCCCAGAUUAAGCGGACGGUCUGAGCAAGUAAGGUCGAUGAAUCCGUCUUCCUCCUCCGAUUGUGAAGAUUUGCGAGGAGUACACUUGCAUGAAUACAUUCUCGGAUUAAAGGAUGAACCGCAGUCGUAGCAAAACACAGUGCCACAUCUGCAAACAAAAUUUAUCACAUGAAUGUAAGAAAUUUCAUGCCGACUUAGGAAGCACCAGUGAUGUGGUGGUAAAGUCGUGGGUGUAUGACUCUACCCACCAGAGUUCAAAUUAAUGCUGGUGCUCACAAAUAUUACGCAUAUAUAUGUGAACUUUCUAAAAAACUUUAGUGAGAUCAUGUAUGUGCUCCUGGUUUCUAUUUCUUAGAGCAUGUGUUAGGAGACGUAUUCGCGGAGAUGUGAGUGUUGUGUUGCGUGUGUAGUGUUGUGUGUGCGUGUAAGUUUGCCGUGUAAUCGUAAAAAAAUCAAAGCAUAAUUCCAUAACUACGGGUCUACGGCUCUAUUUGAAUAGCUGAAAGUGGUUUGAUGGAUCAUUUAUUUUUUUUCUACAGUUAUUUCAAAGCAUAAACAAAUGAAUUAUAACUACUGCAAAAUUGAAAGUAGCUUUAUAAAAGCAUUCAAGAUGUCACACCCCAAUCCGGCACCGCCGUACAACAGCACCUGACAGGAGCGUGUCGUAGGAAAAACGGCGUGAACCGCUUCCUACGAAACCGCGAUCUCAGUACCAGUCCCAGGACAUAGCGCUGGUACCCACGGUGACAAAUAUGAAUCAUUGCAAUCCUUAUAAUAAAUAGAGGACUUAUUUACCUUAACUUAGGUUGCAUUUUAGAACAGCCCGAGAAUGCAACCGACGACACGAACGAGGAAACACCAACAGCAGCAGCAGCAGCGGAACCAACGGACUAACACCCAACACCACAGGCGACGGCUGGGAACUAGGACGAAACCCUAUUCUUCAUUUCACUUCAUCUUCAUUUCAAGGUGUAGGAACUAUAUAUAUAUUUAUAUAGAGCAAGGGUGAGUACUUUCGUACUCAGCAAGUCACGAGAAUUUAGGUGUUUGAUGCAAGCUUGGAAGAGAGGCAAGGUUGUUUUGCAAAUCCUUUGUUUUGAAAUCAUUUUGAAAUUACUAAGUGGUUUACUUCUUUCUAAGUUUGGGCCGAAAAGAGACUUGUGUCUUGAUUCGACUUUAAGAGAUGUUUUUCAAUAACUCAAUUGGUAAUGUACCGACCCCCGGGUCAGAUCAUUACUUCUCGGCUCCCAGAGCCAUUUCACUUGAUUAAGCGGCUCCCAGAGCCUUUUCAUUUUCUCGGACUCCCAGAGUCCAACUGCCCAGCAGCACAACAAUCCGCUUCAACUCGGGAAGCCUAGUCUAUGAUGCCCGUAGACAUCCCGAAUCACACAGAUUCGUUUCUUGACCACUCAGGUCAUCCAUCUGCCACAUAGGCUGAUUCUGGUAACGAUUCCCAAACCACAACAACUUUUCACAAAGCACAGGCAAACAAAUCUACGCUACAGGAAACACCUCACAUCCGCCCAUGACCGUGGGUACGGCUGUUCGAACAGUUAGUUAACCUCUGCAGAGGGGGUACACUUUACCCACACGACAUUACUAACCCGGAUCACCCAGUCCGUGAGAUCAGCCAUGUCGGGAGACCCUAAGGUUUUCAUGACAAGGCAUUUCGAAAGCCGACACAGGGUUGCCAUAUGCCAACGAGAGGGGUCCCAGACCGACAACAGGUUAGGUCCCAGACCAUAUUGUGCCAGGAAGCCCGAGGGUUCUACCUGACACCAGCCCGUUGAAUCCACAUGUCUCAUGGCAUCAUGGCUCCUCCGAUUAGCUAAUUACUCAGCCAGGGGCGUCCCAUUGCACCCGUGUGGUCGCACUUAUUAUAUGCUCGGAUGAAUUUCCCACAGGAAUCGGUCCUUAUAUGCGAAUACAGGACAGUACCACAUAGGCACAACCCCCGCAUCGCGAGUUUUCACAAUCUAUUUUGUUUUCAAACACACCGAUGCCAUAUGUCGGGUUUUCAAGGCUCUCAAACACACCGAUACAAACAAUGGUGUAUGUGGAAUAGUUGGUAUAUGUGCUCAGAGAGCACGGAUACCGAAGUACCACAAAGGUGGAACGACAAGGAAUCAGGGUAGUACAACCUACAAAAAUUAGUGCGACUACUGGGUAGGUCUGUCGGUUUGGCACGCAAACCGAGGCCAAGCAAGUUAAGUGUGUGAUUCUACUAAUGCAAGUUGCAAACAAAAUAAUAAUGAUUUUCCAAUUAUAGGAGCAAUUGGUCAAAGGGUGAUUUGUCUUGCUCAAGGUCUUCACGAAGCUUCACGUAUCUUCGAGAAAACCCACGAUCGAUGAAAAUCCGGUGACCGCAACUAUACGCAAACAAUCAAAAACCUAAACAAAAGACCAAGAAAAAAUAUCCUAUUUAGACUAAAUAAUAGUACCAUUAGAUAGAUCACAAUUUUACAGAAUUACUGGAAGUGGAACGGGGUCAAUCGGAUGAGCGGUUGAGAAGAUAUGGAUUUUCGAAGUUUAUUGGAUUUUCUAAUCAAAGGAAAAACGAUUUAAUAAUUUAUUAAACCCUUUUUGGAAAGAAAUUAAAGGAGGGAUAUGAUUUAGACUUCCUCGGGUGGCUCGGGUGCGACUCGAGAGGACAGGCACGACUCGGCCGAACUAAUGGGCCGGCCGGCCCGGAGAGGCGGCCCAAGGGGGCGCGGGGAGAGUGAGGGAGAGGGAGGGCCGGUGGGCCGAGUCCACCUUGCGGGGUCCCGAGUGGGGCCCGCUUGUCAGUGGCGCGGCUCACCGUGGAAGCGGUGCAUGCGGCGCGCGCUAGGGUUCGGGUAGGAGUGGCGCACGGAUUGGUGCACCGGGUGGACCGAAGGAUGGCAGGCCCACGCGCAGCCGUUAGGCUCUCCGUGGACCGCGCGCACUGAGAGAGAGAGGAGGGAGCGGACCCGCCUUGACUCGGUCUUCACCGAGGUGGCGCUGACGUGGCGCCUCCGUGGCAUGCCACGCAGGCCGGCGAGAGGAGGAAGAAAGAGGCCGGCCGAGAUGGACGGCGGGCGGCGGGGGUCUCACCGGAGCAUGGCGCGACGGUCUUCGGCCAAGGGGGAGCACACCGGAGUGAAGAGGGGCACGAGAGGAGGCGAGCCAGUGGCUCGGAUUCGCCGGAGGAAGAUCGACGACGGCGGAUUGCGGCGACGCACGCCGGCGGUGAGAAAAAAGGGGGAAACGGCGGAGGGGCGACAAGGAUUCAACUCAAGGUGGUGGGAGUAUCUCUGGGAGUCGGGGAUUCUGUUUCCGGCGCCGGAUAGGGUGGAGGAGCACCGAGGAGGGCUAGCGUCGACGGCGGCCUCUAGGAGCUGACGGUAAUGGCGGCGAGGCCAUGCCAGGCGACGGCAUUGCUAUGGAAUGGUUUGGGGAGGCCCUAGGGAGUUCAAGGACGGUGUUGGCUAGGGUGGUCGACGAGCUGGGGCCCGACGACGGCGCGCGACUGUGUGCCGCGGCUGAAAAAGCGCAACGGCGAGGCGCGCGGCGCAUUGUGCGGCAGGAGGAGGAAUACGGUGGGGAGCUCACCGGUGAGGGAGGAGCGGUGUUGGCGACGCGGAGGGAGUCGCGGCGAGGUGGUCGCGACGGCGGGGCGGCGCGGAACCGAGAGGGCGCGGCCGAGAAAAGGAGGGAGGCAGCGAGGCCGAAAGGAUGAUGAGUGUGUGCACACGCUCUUGGCCACGGCAGUGCGGCACCGAGCUUGACGAGGCCGACGCCGAGGCUCACGCGGCCAUUGGCACAACGCGGCAGCGAGGAGGCAGUCGCGGAGGGGCGGGGGCGAGCAGCUGGCGGCCGGCAACAAUGGCGCGGGUGGUUCGAGCGAGGUGAAGACGAAACGAGAGGGGAGGGCGCGGGCUUUAUAGGCGAGGAGGAGAGGUCGGUUUGGAGGAGGGAAACCGACAUUGGCGGUCAAGGGAGCUCGGUUGGUGUUCACGGGCGGCAGCGGCGGUUUCGUUGGCAGUGCGAAAGCGGCGACGGUGUGGAUGUGUUGGGCGGCGAAGGCGGUGGAUCGAGCGGCGGAAAUUGAACCGCGAGCGCGGGCUGGCGCGGCUUGGCGUGGUCAAAGUGGGGGCGGCGAACUGGCGCGCGGCGUCAGCGGCGUUCUGCCUCCGCGCGCAAUGGCAUGGGCGUGAGAGAGAGGUCGAGUCUGAGAGGGAAAAAGGGGAAAAGAGGGAGAAAAAGGGGAGGCUUGUCCAUGCCGUUCUGGGAGGAAGAGUGAGAGGGGAGCGCGAGCGCUGGCUCCCGUCUUUGGAGGGUAGCGGCAAUGGGCAUCGGGAGAGAGGAGAGAGAACGAGAGAGAGAAAAGAGAGCUCUCUCUCUCUCGGCCAUGGCGCACGCGCGAGCGGCGCUCGAGGGAAGGGGAGAGCGGCUGGGAGAGGGAAGUGGGCUGAGGGGAAAAUGGCCCACAACACCCGAGGGAGGCAAAAUAAACUUCUGCAUAGAGAUUUGAGUUGGGAGGAUAUUGGGAUUGGAAUUUGGAUUGGAGAGAAUUUGAGAAGGAUUUUGGAAUUUAACCUUGAUACUUGGCCUCUAGGAACAUAAGGUGGAGUCAAGGGAAGGAUUCGAGGUGGGAUUUGAAUAAUUUUGGAUUCGAAGAAGUAUUUGGCGAGGAUUCAAGGAAGGAUUUGAAUUUCGAAGACUUGAAUUGGAAUAGAAAUCUUGAGGUGGACGAUUUUGAUGGCGAUGAGAGGGAACAAGGACGGAUUUGAAUUGAGAUCCAUGGCACGACUUAGACUCGCACAUAAAGAAAAGAAAUUUUUGCAAUCAGGAUUUUGCCGAAUUAGUUUUUAACGUCUUGCUAAAAGCGCGGCGUUACAAUAUUUUAGUAAGAAAACUUUUACACAAAAUGCAUUGGUUAGCAGUUUGAGAAACAAGCAAAUAUUUCUUUAAAAAAGAUUUUAUUUUCUCCAUAAAUAAUGGUCAGUUACCGCUAAGAUAUUUCUCUCCCUUUUCAGCGUCCACUUCGCGAGGGAAGUUCAGUACGUGUUCGGUCAAGUCAACAACGGUUAGUCAAAACUAACGAAUGGAAUACGUGUUUCAGAUGAGUGGCGAAAAUUUCGCCCCGAUUUCGAAGUUUGGAAGCAAAGUUUAGAGAUUUGAGUCUAGCGAUCGAAAUUAAAGAUUGAAUCGAAGAGGAGGAUCGGAGUAGUGGUGAAUCGAUGAGUUUACCUGCAUGUCAUGCGCUUGCACCCAUCGAUCUUGUCGAUCAUGGCGCGGCAGCUGGGGCAGCGCCGCCACUCGCGCCCCUUGGCGAGCUGGGUCAGCGCGCACCGUGCGCCGCCGUCGCCGCCGCCGCCGCCGCCAUGGCGGUCGUCCCACGGCUCCUCGCACUGCAGGCAGAACGCGCGGGAACAGGUCGGGCAGGACGCCUUGGACGCCGCGGCGCGCAGGGGCAGGGCCGCGGCCGCCGCCUCGCCCUCGAGCGCCGCCAUCUCGCCGCAGUCGCGGUAGGGGCACCGCGCGCGCGCGGGGCCGACGGCGCGCUCGCAGAGCGCGACGCACCACCGGUCGAACACGUCGAUGUCGAGCAGCUUCUUGCAGCGCUCCGGGUGCAUGACGCCGCCGCCGGAGCAGCCGCCCCCGCCCGCCAGGAGGCACGGCACGGGCACGCUCCCCGCCGCGACGCGGGCCUCGAUGUGGCCGACGACGCAGGCGACGCAGAACGCGUGGGGGCAGCCGUCGGAGACGCGGAACCGGUCGAACACCAGCUUCCACUCCAUGCAGACCUCGCAGUAGAACCGCCCGAUCUCGUCGUCGGUGAGCGGCCGCACGCGGCCCGCGCGGGACGACGACGACGACGGCGGGUCCAGCAUGGAGCCCCGGAUCAGCUCCUGCAGGUACUGCUCCCGGUCGAGCUCCUGCGCCGCCGACGCCGACGCCGACGCCGCGGCGCUCGCCAUGGGAGGGGGACGACGCGUACUUGGCGCUAAUUCUUCGGCGAGAAGGAACUAGGAAGUGGAUGGAGUGGACUUGGGCUAGUGCGGGUCGUCGUCGUCGUUGGUCGCGAUCCCUUUAGCCUUUAGGUGGGUGUGUGCGCUUUUUAAAGUUGGGCAGGUACAGGGUACGAUUGGAACGGUUAGAGAUGAGCUAGAUACACAACAAUAUUAUGCUUAAAGGCACAAUAUUUGCUAACAUUACGUAUCAUGCUGUGAGUAUAUUUAGGAUAUUUAGGUUGUCUAUAACUUCCAUAUACUUAAAUCAAUCAAGUGAGAUCAUUAUUUGUAAGAGUUUUGUAAAAAAAAGUACGUGUAGCAGGACUCUUUUUUUUAAUUAUUAUUAUUAUUAUGCAUGUGCACACACUACUAUACUCGUAAUCCCAUACUUACGCACCCACCAAUUCUCGAUAUCUUGGCAAAUUCAUUACAAUCCGCAUCAACCAUAAUGCUAAAUUUCAACAAAUCGUGAAGAAAACAACAAAUUUUGGUUGUGAUCGUGAUGAAAGUCUUGAAUUUUCUUUGUAAUAGUUUCCUCAGUUAAAGUUAUGAUAGUAGUCAUAACCCAUGCUUUACUCAAUUACUGAGGAAUGACUCGGGCAGUGACCCAUGCCACGGUGCCACUCCACUUUCCUCCCUCCCACCUCCUCGCCACCAUCAGAGCCAUCCGUCGGAAAUCUUGCGGUGACAAGGAUGUUAGUGGUGUGGGGCCUUUUCUCCCAUGAGCUCCCAGAGGUUGCGAGCACAAGGUGAUAGAUUUGGAGGAUGGAUCUGGCCAUGAUAGUGACUGUGAUGGCGGCAACGCGGUUGAAGCGACGACAACUAUGACCAAUGGUGUUGAAGACAGUUCCAGUAGUGGAUCUAGCGCUGGUGAUGCUAGAUCCAGUAGCUUCGAGGCUAGAUCUACGUGACCAACGCGUGGUAGAGGAAUGCUCGCAAGGCAUAGCAAUGGCGACACUGGGCAAUGGUGAGACCGCCUGCGUGGAGGUACGGGGAUGGGUGUGAGCAGUUGCUGUGGCAACCCCCUCGUGCCGACAGGAUGCGGUAUUGGUAGCAGACACGGCGAUAGGAGGAAGGUGGGGGUUGACCACCUUUGUGUAGAGGUGUUGGCGACAACUCUCCUCUUCUCGUGCUUGGUAGUCGGCGACGGGAUGGCGUCUGUGUCGUUGGCUACUGCGCAGAUGAGAGACCACCUGUAAACAUAGUUAUACUUAGCUAGAAUCAACUUCAAAUACACAUGCCAUAUAUCCGGUGUGCACUAGUUAAGUUAUAUAUAGGAAAGCCACUAUGCAUGUGACAUGGGUUUUUUUUUGGUAAGUGAACAAAAUUUAAAAUUUUCACUACUAUUUGCAUAUUUGCAUUGCAUUUGAGGUGUAACUGUGCAGAGGAAUAAUAUUACCACCCCUUUUAUUUGAAUGGCUUUUAUUGGAGGAUAAGAUGCAGUUCUCCUUUUAGAAAAUCUGCACAGUGCUUUAAUCUGUAUAUUGCAUUUAUUCAUGGUUAGAUGCUAAAAACAUGAUACUUUUAUGUACAGAGAAGACAAGUGUCCUCAUGUAUAGUGAUCCAUGUGUUCGGUGCUCAUGGGUCACCAUCCACUAAUUAAUCUUUCGGUCCGCACAAAUUACUACUUCCUCCGUUUCAUAUUAUAAGACUUUCUAACGUUACUCACAUUCAUAUAUAUGUUAAUGAAUCUAGACAUAUAUGUGUGCCUAGAUUUAUAAACAUAUAUAUGAAUAUGGGCAAUGUUAGAAAGUCUUAUAACCUGAAACGGAGAGAGUACUACUAGUCUCUCCAUUUCAAAAUAAAUGAUAUGCCCAUAUUAUUAGUAGAGAUUAAGAUGUAAGAAGAAAAUAAUAUAGCGUUUCUUAUUAAAUAUGAUGUACUAAUUGUUGGUGAAAGGGUGGUUAAAGAUAAUAUAAUGAUAAAUUUAAUAACAAGUAAUUGAUGGGACCAAUACUACUUAAAAUAGCACUAUUUUUUUAAAAAAAUUAAAUCCUAAAUAAACACCAAUUUUGGGGCUGAAAGAGUAGACACAGCAUAGAAAAGAAAACGAACUUUUCAAUUGCUAAUCAAUGGUUGAACCGAAGGGGAAUUUUUUUUUAAAAAAGUUGUCCGAUCUGUUUCGUUGCAACAUCCAGAAUUUAUCAGCUACUAAAGACUAAAGAGUAACCAACAUUGUUGGUUUCUUAUCGUAACUCAUCCUAACUUAUUGAUUAAAUAUGGAGAACACACAUUUUUUAAAUAAAAACUACUAACACUAUCAGCCUACACACAAACCCCUAUAACACAUUUUUUUUCCAAGGGACUCCUAAAAUGUUGAGAACAUAUAUACUCCCACCAUUCUCUUUUAUGUGACCUCCAACUCCAAACUAAAAAAACAUAGGUAUAAAUCAGCAGCUAAGAUAGAUAAAGCACACACACAUAACAGAAUCCAACACAUCUAAUAAAUGUCUCAAUUCAAAGAUGAUACAAUCCGAAACCAUCCAACCAUCUAUGUCUUUCUUUCCAACUUUUCCCAGCAACCCGCUGGAAGCGAAAAGAAGCAAAUUGCACAGAUCCACACAUCAUUCAACCACGAUCGAUGAAUUAAACCGCUAAGAAAUCCAGGUAAAUUCGAUUAAGUAAUCUAGUCGACCGACGGAUCAAACUUUAAAUUAAGGAAAUAGUUUGGUUUAGCGACCAGUAAACGCAUGCAGAAUCUGCUGGGGGCAGCAGCUAAUGUUCGACAUUGUCCAUGCAUGCAUCAGCCUCCAGCUUAGCUCCUUCUUCCUCGGCGCCGGCGACGGCGAGAUCGAUUCUGCAGGUGAUCAGGGCACCAGAACGACGCCGAGAUUGUCGAGGCACUGGCAUUUCUCCUUCCCCUCCAGCACCGCUCCUAUCUGGAGCCCACAAAGGUAGCAGAAGACCAUGCGGCACCUUCAAAAUAAACCGCUUGUUAAUUAAAUAAAAAAUGUAUGAUAUGUGUGUUAGCCACACUAAUACACACACAAACAUAUACACAAAUCUGAAUUAUGAUAACGCAUAUACAUAAAAGUCUAUUGCUCCAUGUAAUCUGGCAAAAUCGUAUUCCCAUUAAAUAUAUAAACAUACACCUCUGUAAAAAUCUUCACAGCAAGUUUUUGAAUUCAAUGUGCUUCCAUAUCUUGGUUCAUAUUCAAAUCUACGCCAUUGAACCCCCACUAAAGCCAUUGAACGCCAGUUUACUUACUACAAUUACCACUCAAAAGUUCAUUUAACCUGGAGAAACAUCCUAAUGUGUACGCUAAAACCAUAUCAAACCAAAACUAUCAAGUAUAAUGAAACGGAUUGAGAGUUGGAGGGAGUAAAUAUAUAUACACCACUGUACAAAGAUGUAAUUAUCAUUAAACACGAGUUAUACCAAACUUCUACCAUGGUAAAAAUGUUUCCCAAGCAUUUAAUGGUGCAAACGGAAAAACAAAGGAACCAAAUAUGGAUUAGACACAAACUAAAGCAUGUCCUACCUUGCAAUGUAACCCAAUAUAUGUUGUUAACACUUUCUCCCUACGAAAAUGUUGGAUAACGAAUCUACAGACAAGUUCAAACAUGAAAAAACAAAUGUCCCCCCUAUAAAAAGUUAGAGGACGAAUCUACAAACACAUUCAAAGAUGAUACAAUCAGAUGCUUUGUUUUUUAAAAACCAGAUGAGUGAUGUGCACCAAACCGUAUACGCUAUAUAUUACUCCCUCCGUUUUAAAAUGUUUGACACCGUUGACUUUUUAGCACAUGUUUGACCGUUCGUCUUAUAUUAAAAAAAAUUGUGAAAUAUGUAAAACUAUAUGUGUACAUGAAAGUAUAUUUAACAAUGAAUCAAAUUAUAUGAAAAAAAUAAAUAAUUACUUAAAUUUUUUGAAUAAGACAAAUGGUCAAAUACGUACUGAAAAGUCAACGGUGUCAAACAUUUUGAAACGGAGGGAGUAACAAAACUUCUGCCAACAACAUACUACUUUAAAAAAAGCGCCUUGACAACCAAAGAAAAACUUGACGUCGAAUAAUUAAGAAGAAUAAUUAAAACCAUAUAUUUGUGCUCUCUAUGCUAUCUAGCACAUAGUACUAACCACGUAUUUUAACUCCCUAUGCUAUCGAACGCAUCUCAAACUAUAUGUGGGAGAUACAUUUUCUCCAAAUUAUGUACUACAUUUUCCUCAAAAAAAAUUGUGUAACUACAUUUGAAAUGCUCGUGAUGGAUUAAAUAGAGUAAUGAAGCAAAUGCAAGAACCUAUGAAAUGCUCAUGAUGGAUCAUAAUAAAUAGUAGAAUAAUGAAGCAAAUGCAACAACACAAGAAGUGAAAUGAAGUAGACAGGGAGGUGAGCACAGUAGUGAAGUGAGUUGAGUACCUGCAACUCAUGACCCUGCAGCCGGCUGUCCUCUCAACCAGCAUCCUGCAUUUGGGGCACGCCUUCCACCGCCGCUCGUCGGCGAGCUUCUUCACCAUGGCGGCCUCGGGCCCCUUGGAGCAGUCCCGGUGGUCGGCGUCGUCCGCCGUGCUCCACUCCCCGCCGCACGUCGCGCACAGCAGGUGCUGGCACGCCGGGCACGCCGCCAUGGCCGGCUCCGCCUCGCCGCUGGUCUCCAGCAGGAUCCCGCACCGGCGGUUGGGGCAGUACGCCCGCCGGUCGUGCGGCACGGCGCCCUCGGCGAGCCGGAGCCCCCAGUCGGUGAACGCGGCGAAGUCGAUGGCCUUCUUGCACCCCUCCGGGUGGAGCACGCCGGCGCCGCCGUCGCCGCCGUCGGCGCACUCCGGGUCCGGGCACGCCACCGGCACGGCCCCCUCCCUCACCUUGCCGUCGAUGUAGGUGGUCAUGCACUCGAGGCAGUACUUGUGGUCGCAGGGGAGGCCGCGGAAGAGGUCGAGCAUCGGCAAGGUGUCGAAGCAGAUGCCGCAGUCGAACGUCGGGAGGUCGCCGUCGGCGAGGGGGAGCACCCUCGGCCGCCUCGUCGACGGGCCGGCCUCGUCGGGGUCGAGGUCGGAUGGGCGGAGGCCCCACUUCUUGUAGAAGUUUGGCAUGGAGAAUUCACCUUCUUCUUCUUCUUCUUCUCCGGCGAUGGCGGCGGCGGUGGCGCGGGGUGGUGGUUGCGCCACGACGGGCGAUUUUGUGAGGUAUUGCACCGGGAGAGGCCCAUGGAGCUCUGGGUCCUCUUGCAGCUCGGCGAUCACGGCGUCGCGGAUGACGGAGUCGUACCAGUCGUUGUCGUGGCCGUCUUCCAUGCCGGCGAAGACGGCCGGCGUGUCCCUGUCGGCGAGUAGGGCCUGCCUCUUCGAGGAAACCGAGUCGUUCUCGUUCGCGACGUUGCGGUGAACCUCUUCUUCUUCUUCCAUGCCGCCGGCGGCGCCUCCUUUGCCGGCGGAGAUGGCCGGGGUUCUGUGUUGCCCACACUUGCCGGCAGAGACGGCAGGGGCGGCGUGGCUCCCUUCUCCCGUGGUGGCGGUGACGGCCGCCGGGGUGUCGGCGGCGGCGGCGGCGGCGGUGAGCUGGCGGUCGGCGGCGGCAAUGCGAGUCCAUAUCCGGCCGAACUGCGCGACGUUUGGGCGAGGGUUUGCUUGCAAUGCUGCCAUGAGGUUUUCUGCCCUAGCCCAACGGCCAUUGCCGGCGCCACGGGCAUGGCCGGUGCCGGGAGCGGCACGAGCCGCCAUACGGGCGGCAGGACGUCUCCCGCCGUGGCGGGGAGCGGCGGCGCCGCCAGCGAUGAGGCCGCCGGGGCGGAGUGAGAGUUCAGUAGACGGCGCCAUGGCAGCAGGUAGGCCCUGUGGUAAGGUGGCGGUAGAGCUCGUGCCGAUGUCGGCGGUGGCGGCGCCGCCCGGCGGCCGCGGGAGGAAGGCCGUCGCUGAUCUUGCCGGUGCCGGCUGCUGUCUCGUCGCCACGGUGCGGCGCCCACCGGAUCGUAACGGAGGCGGCACGUACAGUUGGACGGUCCGCGCCGCCGCCGCCGCCGCCGGCGCGUCAUCAUCAUCAUCGAUGACGAUGGGUUGGGCCCUGCUCCCGGCGGCGCCGGCGGCGAGGGAAGACGUCGAUCCUACGCGAUCCAUCGGCGGCGCGAAGCUGCUCCAGUCGUCGUCGCCCAGCUCCAUCAGCUGCGACACGUACAGGUCACGCGCGAACGCCUCGUCGACGGCGACAUCGGCGGCGGCGGCGGCGGCGGCGUGGUGGCUGCUCGAUGCUCCUCCUCCAGUCGCAGCAGGGUGGGGUUUUCCUCCUUCCAUGGCGAAUUGGCGCGAUCGAUCGACUUCGAUUCUCUCAGAGAUUUUCUAGGGUAUUAGGGAGUCGAUCGAUCGAUCGAUCUUGAAUUUCUUGACCUGCAUGAGAAGAAAGAAGAUGCGAAUUAGGGGGGGAUUUCUUGUUUCUACUCAGAAAAUUAAUGUACAGAUCCGAGGCUGACUGUACUAUCUGAAUUUCUAUGUGUUCAGCUCAUAAAUUGUACUAUUGGCGCCUAUAUAUAUAUGCUGAAUAACAGGAGGUAGAUCAAAGUUUAUUCGGGAGUAGAAUUGCAUAUAUUUCCAAAAACACGUGUGCAUGCGACUUCAUCGGUUAAUAUUGAUGAAUAUAUACUACUCUUGCUUUUUGUUCAAAUAUUGUUGUAUUUUGUUCUCACUUAUAUUAAGCAAAAUCGGCCCUUGUACAAAUGGUGUGCACAUAAAUAAUCUGAUAAAAAUGAUAAACCCACAAAUACAAUGAAAUAGAUCGGGAUGUGGAUUUAGAGUGGUUCCUACAUAUUAUACACAUAGUUUUGCAAAUAUGUAAAUAUGCAAAUAGUUGUCUUGCGCAAGCAUAAAUACGGUGAAUGCAAGUACAUAAUACACAUAUAUUGAAUUGAAAGUGUGAUUAAUCAGCCAUGGUAAGAAAUGUCGGUUAGGCCAAGAAUUCAGUAGAGAAUGAUGGAGCAGUGGCAAUGGAUCUAGUCUGAUCUACGAUGAUGAGAAAAACCGAGAAAACAUGAAGGUAACUUACUAGUGAC